AAGACAUUUAUUCUCUCACAGUUCUGGAGGCCAGAAGUCUGAAACCUAGGCAUCCACACAGCCAUACUCCCUCCAAAAGCUCUUGGGGGAUCCUUCCCCCAUGGUGACAGCGUCCCAUCCUCCAUCUCUGCCUCCCCGUCCCAUUGCCUUCUCUGCUUUCUGUCUCUUCAUGAGGACACUGGUCAUUGGAUUUAGGGCCCACCUGGGUAAUCCAGGAUGAUCUCAUCUCAGGACCCUUAAUCUAAAUGUAUCUGCCAAGACACUUUUUCCAAAUAAGGUCACAUUCUUAGGGUCUGGGUAUAUUAGCACAGUGACACAUCUUUUUGGUGGCUGCUGUUGAACCCUCACACUGACUGGGUGAAAGGAAAGGGACAUGGGCCAGGAUGCAGGCUUCAGGGAGUCUUUUCCUUGUCCCUUGACCAUUUUGCUCCUCGUGUCCAGCCUCUCCCCUGCCCACAGCCCAGCCAUUGACACCAUCCUUGGUCUGUCCAACCCCAGACACUGGCUUCUGUGCUGUCCUGGGGUCAGGGCCUCUGCUGCUGGGGAGUCAGCAGGGCGUCUGGAUGGUGGACUCCCAGCCUUCCUGGGAGAUGGAUGGCUUCCUUUCUCCAUCCUCUGCUCUGCAGGGGACAGGCAUGAGCCAAAGGCAGGAGAACAGGAAGGAUGUGGCUCUCCCACCCCGGGUUGGCCGGCAGAGUCCAGGCUGCUGUCCUUCCUGUGCCUUGGCUUCCCAGCCACUCUUAUAGGAGUGAGCAUCCUGGUGACUUGUUUGAAGCUCCUUCCUCUUCCAAGAACUUGUGACCAGGUACUUCCUGAGUCCAGCCAGUGCCCACCUGUGGACUGUGGAGGCCCCCUCCCCACCCAGUGUGUGUUCCCUUCAGUUCCUUAGUAUUCCACCUGAGUGGGGGUCUCCUCUCUGCUCUCUCCCUCUCCUCUGUCCUAUUAUGCCACCCACACCUGGAUCCAGUCUUGACCUCUGGGUCCUCUGAGAUCACGGUUCUGCUCAAUCUGGGGUCUGAGUUGGGGAUGCAGGAGCCCUGGCUCUCUGGUCCUUGGGAACACAGACCUGACCCUGGAACACCAAGCACUCCUCAGUGAGUAACCCUUAGACUAGAGUCACCUCCUUCCAGUCCGGGGCCUUCCAGUCAGCCAAAGCUUUGGCUGUGGGAGGAAACCCACUCUGGCAUUAGCCUCAAGUGCUGGUUGUGAUUCUUCCCAGUGUGGCCGCCAGGACCAACUGGAAGGCCCCAGAGUGGAGGCCAGACUGGGUUUAGGAGAAAAGGUUGAGUUGGGGGGUGCUUUAGGGAGUUCUGGACACAGGAAAUGGUAGGUGUGCUCCGUGGUUGCUGAGGGGUAGGAGAGAGGAGAGCCCAGGCCUGGAGUCACCUGGAGGUGUGCUUCCUGAGGGCAGAGGCACUGGGCAGGAGAGGAGAGCUGGCAGUGGCACGUGGACAGCUAUAGACGGGACCCUGGGUGGUCCACAGAAAUAUCUUAAUGGGCUUAUGUGGUUUUUAAAGAAUUUUUGACAUAGUAGCCAACACUUUAAAAUUGGAGGAUUUUGAUAAAAUCCAGGUUUACUGGCUUCGAAGGAAAAAAGAAAAAAGAUCUUGCCCCUCUGGGAACACAAGGUGUGAUGUGGUGGCUCUCCCUAUAAGUGAACUGUGGGUCCUCCAGGUGACCAGUAUCGCCCAUGGCAGCCUGGCUCAUUUU
rnacentral:lncRNA from 1 species